rnacentral:misc_RNA from 1 species
GAACGCACCUUGCACCCUUUGGUAUUCCGAAGGGUAUGCUCGUUUGAGUGUCAUUGUACUCUCACUCUCCCGAUACUUUUUUGGAUCAGGAGUGGUGGACUUGGGUGUUGCUGCUUUGCUGUGGCUCGCCUCAAAUGGAGUAGUGCAACUCUUGGUUGGACAUAGUACGGCGUGAUAAGUGUCUUCGCCGGCGCCUCAUUCGAGGGUGGCUGAUCAGGAGCUCUGUGCUUCAAACUGUCUUCGGACAACAUCUGACAACUUGACCUCAAAUCGAGUAGGACUACCCGCUGAACUUA